GGACGCUUAGUUCAGUGGUAGAACAUUCCGUUCACAUCGGAAAGGUCGCAGGUUCAAUUCCUGCAGCGUCCA
rnacentral:tRNA from 1 species